AGGGUACUAUUAAGUCCUUCAUUGCAUUUAUGUCUCCCUCAGCCUCAAGGUUCUGUCAUCACAAGGUUCCAUGCUUCAAUGAAUCACUUGUCAUCAUUGCACAUACAAGACUGCCUCUGUUGACGACUGUCACAUUGUCUCAAGAGUUAAUUCUCAUGGUGGUGGGUUGGGUUACAAUGCUGGAUUGAUAGAAGCAAUAUUGUUCAGUUCUGAUUGAGGCAUACUCUUUGGUGGGUUUGUCUAUAUGGAGGGCUUGGUCAAUACAAUAUUAAAGUCAAAAGUUGUGUUUAAGUUCAAAGGUGCCCAUAAGUCUAACAAUGGCACUGAUGUGAGUUCUUGACAGA